GCAGUCGUGGCCGAGCGGUUAAGGCGAUGGACUUGAAAUCCAUUGGGAUCUUCCCGCGCAGGUUCGAAUCCUGCCGACUGCG
rnacentral:tRNA from 1 species